rnacentral:rRNA from 1 species
UAGUCCACGCCCUAAACGAUGAUAACUAGCCGUUGGCUCUUCGGAGCGAGUGGCGCAGCUAACGCAAUAAGUUAUCCGCCUGGGGAGUACGGCCGCAAGGUUAAAACUCAAAUGAAUUGACGGGGGCCCGCACAAGCGGUGGAGCAUGUGGUUUAAUUCGAUGCAACGCGAAGAACCUUACCAUCCUUUGACAUCCUUCGAAUCCUGUAGAGAUACGGGAGUGCCGAAAGGAAUGAAGUGACAGGUGCUGCAUGGCUGUCGUCAGCUCGUGUCGUGAGAUGUUGGGUUAAGUCCCGCAACGAGCGCAACCCUUAUCCUUAGUUGCCAUCAUUAAGUUGGGGACUCUAGGGAGACUGCCGGUGACAAGCCGGAGGAAGGUGGGGACGACGUCAAGUCAUCAUGGCCCUUUUGGGAUGGGCUACACACGUGCUACAAUGGCCAGUACAGAGGGCGGCGAAGGGGUGACCUGGAGCGAAUCCUUAAAAGCUGGUCGUAGUCCGGAUCGC